CCUACGGGUGGCUGCAGUGGGGAAUAUUGCACAAUGGGGGAAACCCUGAUGCAGCGACGCCGCGUGAGCGAUGAAGGAUCUCGGUAUGUUAAGCUCUAUUAGCAGGGAAGAAAAUGACGGUACCUGACUAAGAAGCCCCGGAUAACGACGUGCCAGCAGCCGUCGCAAUUCGUCAGGGGCAAGCGUUAUACGGAUUUAAUGGGCGUAAGGGGAGCGUAGACGGCGGUGGAAGUCAGGUGUGAAAGUCUGGGGCUCAACCCCGGGACUGCAUUUGGAACUGGGAUGCUAGAGUGUCGGAGAGGCAGGCGGAAUUCCUAGUGUAGCGGUGAAAUGCGUAGAUAUUAGGAGGAACACCAGUGGCGAAGGCGGCCUGCUGGACGAUGACUGACGUUGAGGCUCGAAAGCGUGGGGAGCGAACAGGAUUAGAUACCCGAGUAGUC
rnacentral:rRNA from 1 species